rnacentral:piRNA from 1 species
UUCUAUCCCUCGGUGAGGUGCUAGGA